rnacentral:rRNA from 1 species
AGGAUUGGCAUGGGCGAAAGCCUGAUCAGCAAUGCCGCGUGUGUGAAGAAGGCCUUCGGGUUGUAAAGCACUUUUGUCCGGAAAGAAAUCCUUUGGGUUAAUACCUCGGGGGGAUGACGGUACCGGAAGAAUAAGCACCGGCUAACUACGUGCCAGCAGCCGCGGUAAUACGUAGGGUGCAAGCGUUAAUCGGAAUUACUGGGCGUAAAGCGUGCGCAGGCGGUUUUGUAAGACGGAUGUGAAAUCCCCGGGCUUAACCUGGGAACUGCAUUCGUGACUGCAAGGCUAGAGUAUGGCAGAGGGGGGUAGAAUUCCACGUGUAGCAGUGAAAUGCGUAGAGAUGUGGAGGAAUACCGAUGGCGAAGGCAGCCCCCUGGGCCAAUACUGACGCUCAUGCACGAAAGCGUGGGGG